AAACAGACCUGGAAUGAAUCCUUCUCGCUCUUCAUACACUGAGACAGGAUGAAAUCUAAGACCAUGGCAGGGAGAAGCCGCACGCGGAGUCGCACUGUCAGGACCCAGGAUCGAUCUUAAUCAGAUUGCAAGUUCUUCAGGCUUGGAACGAUAUCACUACAAUGAACAGCCAAGUAUAAAGGGUCCCCGGGGAAACUCCGACCGGCCUGCGCACUGGGAGAAUGGGGUGGAGCCACGGAAGUUCACGCGCUUUGCAGAGGGGAGGAGCCUGGCCUCUCCGGAUCCUGGAUAGUACCUGAGAUUCAAUCGCUGAGGCGGGAAAACCGGCUAGCAGGACUGUUGCUUUGCUGAGAGUCCCUGUUUCCCUUUUUUUCCUUUUGGCCCGAUAACUUCCAUUUUUCUCACCCUUCAAAG
rnacentral:lncRNA from 1 species